UACGUAGGCAGCGAGCGUUGUUCGGAGUUACUGGGCGUAAAGGGCGUGUAGGCGGUUGUUUAAGUUUGGUGUGAAAUCUCCCGGCUCAACUGGGAGGGUGCGCCGAAUACUGAAUGACUUGGAGUGCGGGAGAGGUGAGUGGAAUUCCUGGUGUAGCGGUGAAAUGCGUAGAUAUCAGGAGGAACACCGGUGGUGUAGACGGCUCACUGGACCGCAACUGACGCUGAGACACGAAAGCGUGGGUAGCAAACAGG
rnacentral:rRNA from 1 species